rnacentral:lncRNA from 1 species
GCCAAGUGGAAAUUGCUGCUAGUGGAUAUGUUACAGCUGCUUGUGACAUUCUGAGAAGGUGGAUAUUUGCAAAUAAUACAGUUCACUUGACCCUCGCUGCUUGGCAAUGAAAGAAAAACAAUCUGAAGUAUUUUCUUGGGGUUUUGGAAAAGGAAGCAGAAGACUGAUCAUGGAACUGGGGUGCUGUUGGUGUCUGAAGCAUACAAGACAAUUUUGGACAGCUAUUCAUAUUGCAGUGAAACAGAAGUGGAAUAUCCUACAUAUGCCAUAAGCUGAGCUAUAGCACAG